rnacentral:tRNA from 1 species
GGGGGUGUAGUUUAGUUGGUAGAGUGCUUGCCUAGCAUGCAUGAGCUUCUUGAUUCCACCCCCA